rnacentral:rRNA from 1 species
UACGUAGGGUGCGAGCGUUGUCCGGAAUUAUUGGGCGUAAAGGGCUCGUAGGCGGUUUGUCGCGUCGGGAGUGAAAUCCACUGGCUUAACUGGUGGCUGCUUUCGAUACGGGCAGACUGGAGGUAUGCAGGGGAGAACGGAAUUCCUGGUGUAGCGGUGAAAUGCGCAGAUAUCAGGAGGAACACCGGUGGCGAAGGCGGGUCUCUGGGCCGAUACUGACGCUGAGGAGCGAAAGCGUGGGGAGCGAACAGG